GGUUUGAUUAUGGCUCAGAUUGAACGCUGGCGGGAUGUUUACACAUGCAAGUCGAACGGCAGCACGGACUUCGGUCUGGUGGCGAGUGGCGAACGGGUGAGUAAUGUAUCGGAACGUGCCUUAGUAGCGGGGGAUAACUACGCGAAAGCGUAGCUAAUACCGCAUACGCCCUUCGGGGGAAAGCGGGGACCUCGGGCCUCUUUGCACUAUUAGAGCGGGCCGGGAUAUCGGAUUAGCUAGUUGGUGGGGUAACGGCUCACCAAGGCGACGAUCCGUAGCUGGUUUGAGAGGACGACCAGCCACACUGGGACUGAGACACGGCCCAGACUCCUACGGGAGGCAGCAGUGGGGAAUUUUGGACAAUGGGGGAAACCCUGAUCCAGCCAUCCCGCGUGUGCGAUGAAGGCCUUCGGGUUGUAAAGCACUUUUGGCAGGAAAGAAACGGCACGGGAUAAUACCCCGUGCAACUGACGGUACCUGCAGAAUAAGCACCGGCUAACUACCGUGCCAGCAGCCGCGGUAAUACGUAGGUGCCGUUAAUCGGAAUUACUGGGCGUAAAGCGUGCGCAGGCGGUUCGGAAAGAAAGAUGUGAAAUCCCCCAGAGCUUAACUUUUGAAGUCCGCAUUUUUUAACUACCGAGCUAGAGUGUGUCAGAGGGAGGUGGAAUUCCGCGUGUAGCAGUGAAAUGCGUAGAUAUGCGGAGGAACACCGAUGGCGAAGGCAGCCUCCUGGGAUAACACUGACGCUCAUGCACGAAAGCGUGGGGAGCAAACAGGGAUUAGAUACCCUGGUAGUCCACGCCCUAAACGAUGUCAACUAGCUGUUGGGGCCCGGGCCUUGGUAGCGCAGCUAACGCGUGAAGUUGACCGCCUGGGGAGUACGGUCGCAAGAUUAAAACUCAAAGGAAUUGGCGGGGACCGCACAAGCGGUGGAUGAUGUGGAUUAAUUCUGAUGCAACGCGAAAAACCUUACCUACCCUUGACAUGUCUGGAAUCCCGAAGAGAUUUGGGAGUGCUCGCAAGAGAACCGGAACACAGGUGCUGCAUGGCUGUCGUCAGCUCGUGUCGUGAGAUGUUGGGUUAAGUCCCGCAACGAGCGCAACCCUUGUCAUUAGUUGCUACGAAAGGCACUCUAAUGAGACUGCCGGUGACAAACCGGAGGAAGGUGGGGAUGACGUCAAGUCCUCAUGGUUCUUGCGGUAGGGCUUCACACGUCAUACAAUGGUCGGGACAGAGGGUCGCCAACCCGCGAGGGGGAGCCAAUCCCAGAAACCCGAUCGUAGUCCGGAUCGCAGUUUGCAACUCGACUGCGUGAAGUCGGAAUCGCUAGUAAUCGCGGAUCAGCAUGUCGCGGUGAAUACGUUCCCGGGUCUUGUACACACCGCCCGUCACACCAUGGGAGUGGGUUUUACCAGAAGUAGUUAGCCUAACCGUAAGGAGGGCGAUUACCACGGUAGGAUUCAUGACUGGGGUGAAGUCGUAACAAGGUAA
rnacentral:rRNA from 1 species